rnacentral:piRNA from 1 species
UAGAUGAGGCUGCCUGUGGAGAACUGGU